rnacentral:rRNA from 1 species
UACGUAGGGACCGAGCGUUGUCCGGAUUCAUUGGGCGUAAAGAGCUCGUAGGCGGCCACUCAAGUCGAAUGUGAAACCUCGAGGCUUAACCUCGAGCCUGCAUUCGAUACUGGGCGGCUAGAGUCUGGUAGGGGGAUCUGGAAUUCCUGGUGUAGCGGUGGAAUGCGCAGAUAUCAGGAAGAACACCAACGGCGAAGGCAGCUCGCUAGGACGGUACUGACGCUGAGACGCGAAAGCGUGGGGAGCGAACAGG